rnacentral:lncRNA from 1 species
AGAGUCGAAAAUAGAGAAAAAGUAAUGAAAACAAAGGAAAUGAGACCAGCUUAGAGUUGCAUUUAGCCUCUAAAGUGAAAAGGUUCCAUGUCUGGGAAACAUCACAAAAAGGGAACAAAGCAGAUCCGUGCAGAAUGAGGAGUGCUGGGACCUUGCGCCUGCAUCCCAGAGCCCUGUGCUCCAGCGACCUCACUAUAUUGCCAUCUAACCAAGUAGCUUCAUAAGAUGCUUCAUGUUUGCAGUGGGUUUAGUAAUCAGGAUCAUGUUUUAUUAAUUAAUCUUCACAGCUUUACUCUGAGCCGUAUCUGCAUUAUUAACUUCAUCCACAGACAGAAGACUAGUGUCCAAUAAUAUUGGCAUUCAGAAUCUACAGUCAGGAGGCCCAUGAAGGGUCCUAGAGAAGGCAACCAGAGAUCUCCUGCAUUUUGACGACAUGAAAAAGAAAUUAAAAGCUGGGCGUGGUGGUGCACGUCCUUAAUCCCAGCACUCGGGAGGUAGAGGCAGGAGGUUUUCUGAGUUCGAGGCCAGCCUGGUCUACAAAGUGAGUUCCAGGACAGCCAGGGCUACACAGAGAAACCCUGUCUCGAAAAAAUAAAUUCAAUAAAUAAAUAGAUAGAUAGAUAGAUAGAUAGAUAGAUAGAUAGAUAGAUAGAUAGAUAAAAAUUGAUUUAGGAUUUUUGCCUUUUUCCCUUCUUAUGGUAAAUUUCAGUGUCGCUUUUCUUUUUCUUUUUCUACUUGACCGCCUCUUUCGAUGCAGCAUGAUAAAAUGGAUAAUCCCAUUCUUAUUAAAUAACAGAAGGAAGAAACAUGCUACAAGCCUGUCAUGAGAAUCCAUUAAUCAUCCAAGCAAUCAAAUUGUGGGGCACUGAGAUCAGUAUUAGCCACUGAUGUCCAAAACUAUCCACUUAGGCUUGUCACAGUUGACACCUCAGCCAUCCUUUCUGUCAUCGUGCAACAUGCAGACAAUUCUGUCAAAAGUGGAAAAGCCAGAGCCAAAGCCAGAGCAAGAAGUCGGCACCUGCUCUGUUUGGAUGCUGUGGUUUGAAGGACUCUGCGUGAACCAAUUUCUAGGAAACAGCAUUGAGAUAUUUAAAAAUGGAUUUAAUUUAAAGAUGAAAAUAAGCCCAUCUAACAUUCUUACUUACCCAGUGGAUGGCUUCAAAUGACUGGUUGGAUUUUGUUCAUGAUAGCCAAUACACACUAAGUAUUUUUUUUUAAACUUUAUUAUCUAAGCUAUUUCUGCUUUUCCUUUAAAGUAUUACUCAGAGCCCAGUGCCAUCAAGAUACAGUUCUCAUAAAUGUCAGCCACUUUGUGUCCCCUUUUUAUGAGCUUAUGAUUGGGCACAGAACUUUCCUAAUUUGGUAUUGUUAUCUUGCCUCGCUGUUUAAAUAACCAUGUAUGUCUUUACUUCAUUGUUAAAAAUAUCUUCUUCGAGGUAGACUCUGCCACAUAUUAUUUAUAGUGUCAAUGUCAAAUAGCACAAGAUAGUCUCAAUUUCAUUGAUUUCUUUCUGGGUGUUUGAGCUUUGAAAAUAUCAGGGGCAGGGGGAUGACGGCAUAAGUCAUCCCAUUCAAUGCUUAAGCGUAAAGUGAUGGUUU